rnacentral:rRNA from 1 species
GAUGAACGCUGGCGGCGUGCCUAAUACAUGCAAGUCGAGCGAACAGACGAGGAGCUUGCUCCUCUGACGUUAGCGGCGGACGGGUGAGUAACACGUGGAUAACCUACCUAUAAGACUGGGAUAACUUCGGGAAACCGGAGCUAAUACCGGAUAAUAUAUUGAACCGCAUGGUUCAAUAGUGAAAGACGGUUUUGCUGUCACUUAUAGAUGGAUCCGCGCCGCAUUAGCUAGCUGGUAAGGUAACGGCUCACCAAGGCAACGAUGCGUAGCCGACCUGAGAGGGUGAUCGGCCACACUGGAACUGAGACACGGUCCAGACUCCUACGGGAGGCAGCAGUAGGGAAUCUUCCGCAAUGGGCGAAAGCCUGACGGAGCAACGCCGCGUGAGUGAUGAAGGUCUUCGGAUCGUAAAACUCUGUUAUUAGGGAAGAACAAAUGUGUAAGUAACUAUGCACGUCUUGACGGUACCUAAUCAGAAAGCCACGGCUAACUACGUG